GGCUACUGUAGCUUAUAAAACAAUGAUGAGCAAAAUAGGCAUGUACUGUACUUUCAGCCAGGAUGCUGGUACAAAAAAAAAAAAAAGGAGUUUUGAGAAAAGUCCUUUGAACCUAUGAAAUUCUCUCUCCAUCUUGCAGGUUUAUUGAUUAGGUCCACUCCAGCUGCAGAUGAAGCCUGCAGGGGAAGAAGCAGAUCUUCAGUCUGCCUCUGCAGAUCUGCUGACAUUACUGGCUCUAGCUUGGGGAAGGAGGAUGGCUCUGGAAUGUCUGGGACAGAGGAAAGGAGAAGCCUUAUAAUCCCUAGUUCAUGAAGAGAUUGGUGCUGAGGCUGAGCGGGGAGGGAGCCAGACUGAACUGACUGGGAGUGAAGAGGAAGCUGGGCUCUGUGCACAUGCAAUGUUUCCUUAUGUUAAUCUCAAGAGAUUUCAUGUGAUACCAUCAGAUAGGAGGACAGAAUUCUCAGCUGCUGAAGUUUGUAUUGCACACUGUGAUACUUCCCUGAGGUUUUUCUGCUCAAGGUCAAGCACAGCUUCUCUGUCGGUGUCCUCCAAAUAUCUUGGAAAGUUUCCAUGUUCCUCAGCAGCUUGAGGUUCUUAUUUUGAGUUUUCUGAAAUGCAUUUUGUUAUUACCCUCCCUGUUCUGAGACAUCCAACUGAACAGAGCCACCCCCCC